GGGUUGUGAGGUUAAGCGACUAAGCGUACACGGUGGAUGCCCUGGCAGUCAGAGGCGAUGAAGGACGUGCUAAUCUGCGAUAAGCGCCGGUAAGGUGAUAUGAACCGUUAUAACCGGCGAUACCCGAAUGGGGAAACCCAGUGUGACUCGUCACACUAUCAUUAACUGAAUCCAUAGGUUAAUGAGGCGAACCGGGGGAACUGAAACAUCUAAGUACCCCGAGGAAAAGAAAUCAACCGAGAUUCCCCCAGUAGCGGCGAGCGAACGGGGAGGAGCCCAGAGCCUGAAUCAGCAUGUGUGUUAGUGGAAGCGUCUGGAAAGGCGCGCGAUACAGGGUGACAGCCCCGUACACAAAAGCGCAUGUGCUGUGAGCUCGAUGAGUAGGGCGGGACACGUGGUAUCCUGUCUGAAUAUGGGGGGACCAUCCUCCAAGGCUAAAUACUCCUGACUGACCGAUAGUGAACCAGUACCGUGAGGGAAAGGCGAAAAGAACCCCGGCGAGGGGAGUGAAAAAGAACCUGAAACCGUGUACGUACAAGCAGUGGGAGCACAGGUUUACCUGUGUGACUGCGUACCUUUUGUAUAAUGGGUCAGCGACUUAUAUUCUGUAGCAAGGUUAACCGAAUAGGGGAGCCGGAGGGAAACCGAGUCUUAAUUGGGCGUUAAGUUGCAGGGUAUAGACCCGAAACCCGGUGAUCUAGCCAUGGGCAGGUUGAAGGUUGGGUAACACUAACUGGAGGACCGAACCGACUAAUGUUGAAAAAUUAGCGGAUGACCUGUGGCUGGGGGUGAAAGGCCAAUCAAACCGGGAGAUAGCUGGUUCUCCCCGAAAGCUAUUUAGGUAGCGCCUCGUGAAUUCAUCUCCGGGGGUAGAGCACUGUUUCGGCUAGGGGGCCAUCCCGGCUUACCAACCCGAUGCAAACUGCGAAUACCGGAGAAUGUUAUCACGGGAGACACACGGCGGGUGCUAACGUCCGUCGUGAAGAGGGAAACAACCCAGACCGCCAGCUAAGGUCCCAAAGUCAUGGUUAAGUGGGAAACGAUGUGGGAAGGCCCAGACAGCCAGGAUGUUGGCUUAGAAGCAGCCAUCAUUUAAAGAAAGCGUAAUAGCUCACUGGUCGAGUCGGCCUGCGCGGAAGAUGUAACGGGGCUAAACCAUGCACCGAAGCUGCGGCAGCGACACUCAGGUGUUGUUGGGUAGGGGAGCGUUCUGUAAGCCUGCGAAGGUGGCCUGUGAGGGUUGCUGGAGGUAUCAGAAGUGCGAAUGCUGACAUAAGUAACGAUAAAGCGGGUGAAAAGCCCGCUCGCCGGAAGACCAAGGGUUCCUGUCCAACGUUAAUCGGGGCAGGGUGAGUCGACCCCUAAGGC
rnacentral:rRNA from 1 species